UCUCAGUUCAGAUUGCAGGCUGCAACCCGCCUGCAUGAAGUCGGAAUUGCUAGUAAUCGCGGAUCAGCAUGCCGCGGUGAAUACGUUCCCGGGCCUUGUACACACCGCCCGUCACACCAUGGGAGCCGGUAAUACCCGAAGUCAGUAGUCCAACCUCGUGAGGACGCUGCCGAAGGUAGGAUUGGCGACUGGGGUGAAGUCGUAACAAGGUAAC
rnacentral:rRNA from 1 species